rnacentral:rRNA from 1 species
AUUGAACGCUGGCGGCAUGCUUUACAUAUGCAAGUCGAACGGUAACAGGCCUUCGGGUGCUGACGAGUGGCGAACGGGUGAGUAAUGCAUCGGAACGUGCCCAGAGGUGGGGGAUAACGCAGCGAAAGCUGUGCUAAUACCGCAUGUGAUCUGAGGAUGAAAGCGGGGGACCAGGCAGCAAUGUUUGGCCUCGCGCCUUUGGAGCGGCCGAUGUCAGAUUAGGUAGUUGGUGGGGUAAAGGCCUACCAAGCCGACGAUCUGUAGCUGGUCUGAGAGGACGACCAGCCACACUGUGACUGAGACACGGCCCAGACUCCUACGGGAGGCAGCAGUGGGGAAUUUUGGACAAUGGGCGCAAGCCUGAUCCAGCAAUGCCGCGUGCGGGAAGAAGGCCUUCGGGUUGUAAACCGCUUUUGUACGGAACGAAAAGGCUCUGGCUAAUACCUGGGGCUGAUGACGGUACCGUAAGAAUAAGCACCGGCUAACUACGUG